UAGCUCGCCGUUGCCCCAAAUUCAGCUACAAAAUAAUUGCUACCGGUUCAAUCAAGCUUAAUCUUCAAGGAAUGGCUCGCCACUCUCCCAAAUUAAUUUCUCAGCCUUAGAUAUCCCACGAGAAAAAUCUUUCACCUAAAUAAUUAUUUCCCCCAAAUGGGUUUCUUCUUUAUGCAAUCUGAAAGAAGUUCUUCUUCUCCAUAUCUUAGGUUUUCAGUUUUCUCUUUAGGGUUGCUAAAUUAUGUCAUUUUCCGUCAACCAUCUCAUUAAAAUUUACUCUAACAGGAGAAAUUGGGUUUCAGAUAAUGUGCUUUCAGCUCCAAUAUAGUUGUGCUCCAUUAAGGAGGUCAGUAUGAUAUUGGUGGUUGGGAAGGCAAGGAGUAAACCAAUAUUGGGGUUGCACAGUUUAUAGCUUGUCUCACCAUGAGAGUCAUGAGAUGAUAAUGCAUGAUUCUCUAUAUUUUGGUCUGCUCGUGAUGAAGCAGUAUCUUGAAUCUUUUGGUACUUUCAAUGGAGUAAGAGGGAGACAUUGGCAAGCAUUCUCUAGAUUGUGUAUUACAUGGUUCAACUUUUACAUCAGUUUUAGAAACUAUUCCUUUUUUGUAAUCCAUUGAAUGAUAGAAACAAGUACAAAAUAAUCUUGAUGUUGAACCUCUUUUUGUAAUCUUGUAGUUGUAUAAAAAAUACAAACAAUAAUUUCAGGCAUAGGCCCGUGCACAACAUGGGCACCAACUACCUUGUUUUUGCAAGAGCAUCCCAAAUUUAUGUGUGCCAAAGAAAACAAGGAAAUUAAUCUUAAUUUCAUUUGGUUUCAGGCUAUUGAGUCUAAGUCUCUCCUAGAGGCGCAGGAUAUUGACACUUCUUAUUUUGCUAAGUAAUGCGUGAAGGCUACCAAGGAGGCAGCCUUUUAUUAGUACUUAUCCUUUUAUAUUAGCUUUGAAGCAUAUCAACUUAGUGAUGAAGUAAGGGAGUGAGGAGUAAUGAAGCGGAGGAAUAAAUGAUACUUUAUUUACUUAUUUAGUAUCUUGCUCCAAAAAAGUUGGGAAGAAGAGGGAAGUAUACCGUAUUCAGGUGUUCCUUUCCAUUGUUGUUCUUCAGGGUCAGAAGACUUGAAGCUACAUGUCAGGCAACAACUUUUCAAGAAUUGAUAUAAAUGAUAAAUUGGUUAUCUUUUUGUUGGUUGCUUAGGACAAUUACUUUUCUUGUUAAGUGGUUUUGUAAACAGUUCAUGGUUGUACAGUUACU